GCUUGUCUCAAAGAUUAAGCCAUGCAUGUCUCAGUAUAAGCUUGUGCAUAGUGAAACUGCGAACGGCUCAUUAUAACAGUUAUAAUUUGUUUGGUGUUCAAGUUUACAUGGGUAACUGUGGCAAUUCUAGAGCUAAUACAUGCUGUUUUGCCUGACUCUGUGGUAAGGCUGUGCUUAUUAGUACCAGAACCAACCCAAGUUCUGCUUGGUUGCAUCCUGAUUCAUAAUAACUUUCAGAUCGAUCGCAAGAUCGAUGCAUCAUUCAAGUUUCUGCCCUAUCAGCUUUGGAUGGUAGGGUAUUGGCCUACCAUGGCUUUAACGGGUAACGGAGAAUUAGGGUUCGAUUCCGGAGAGGGAGCCUGAGAAACGGCUACCACAUCCAAGGAAGGCAGCAGG
rnacentral:rRNA from 1 species